rnacentral:snRNA from 1 species
CUUGCAGAGAAGAUUAGCAUGGUCCCUGCACAAGGAUAAUAUGCAGAUUUGUGAAGCGUUCCAAAAGUGG